rnacentral:tRNA from 1 species
UCUAAUAUGGCAGAAUAAUGUACUGGAUUUAAAUCCCAUUUAUAAAGAAUAUCUUUUUUUAGAA